rnacentral:lncRNA from 1 species
UGACACAAAAUACUCCAAACACCAGAUCCAUUAUACAUUUACAUGUGCUAAAUGAUCAACUAGUGGUUAAAACAACACAUGGUGGUGUAGAAAAGAUCAAUAAUACAUUUAAAUGUGCUAAAUGAUCAACUAGUGGUUAAAACAACACAUGGUGGUGUAGAAAAGCGUAUUCUGAAUCCAGCCAGACAUACAUCAUCCUGCUCCUCCAAACACUCCACUGGCUUCCAGUUGAAGCUCGCACCCACUACAAGACCAUGAUGCUUAGCUACAGAACAGGAAGAGGACCUGCCCCUCCCUACCUUCAGGCUCUGAUCCGUUCUGCCACCUCAGGUCUCUGGUCCCCUCCCACCCCUACGGGAGGGCAGUUCCUGCUCAGCCCAGUCCAGUUCCUGCUCAGCCCAGUCCAGUUCCUGCUCAGCCCAGUCCAGUUCCUGCUCAGCCCAGUCCAGUUCCUCCUCAGCCCAGUCCAGUUCCUGCUCAGCCCAGUCCAGUUCCUGCUCAGUCCAGUCCAGUUCCUGCUCAGCCCAGUCCAGUUCCUGCUCAGUCCAGUCCAGUUCCUGCUCAGCCCAGUUCCUGCUCAGCCCAGUCCAGUUCCUGCUCAGCCCAGUCCAUCCAGUCCAGUUCCUGCUCAGUCCAGUCCAGUUCCUGCUCAGCCCAGUCCAGUUCCUGAUCAGCCCAGUCCAGUUCCUGAUCAGCCCAGUCCAUCCAGUCCAGUUCCUGCUCAGUCCAGUCCAGUUCCUGCUCAGCCCAGUUCCUGCUCAGCCCAGUCCAGUUCCUGCUCAGCCCAGUCCAGUUCCUGCUCAGCCCUGUCCAGUUCCUGCUCAGCCCAGGCCAGUUCCUCCUCAGCCCAGUCCAGUUCCUGCUCAGUCCAGUCCAGUUCCUGCUCAGCCUAGUCCAGUUCCUGCUCAGCCCAGUCCAGUUCCUGCUCAGCCCAGUCCAAUUCCUGCUCAGCCCAGUCCAGUUCCUGCUCAGCCCUGUCCAGUUCCUCCUCAGCCCCUCCUAGACCCCCUGCCUGGACCCCCUGCCUAUGAGCCCCUGCCUGGACCCCCUGCCUGUGACCCCCUGCCUG